UUUUCCCACUGUACAGCAAGGGGGUCAGGUCAUCCUUAGAUGUAUACAUUGCAGUUACAGUUUUUUCCCCCACCCUUUCUUCUGUUGCGACAUGAGUAUCUAGACAUAGUUCAUAAAAGGCAUUUCUAUCUUUAAAAAUCUUUAGCUAACAUUAUACUUAAUGAUGAAAAACUGAAAGCUUUCUCUUAAGAUCAGUAAAUGGCAAGAAUGUCUACUGUCAUCACCCUUAUUAUAACAGCCUUCUGGAAACGAAAAAGAAACAAAAGGUGUAGACUGGACAGAAAAAAUAAAUUGUCCGUAUUCACAGACUGCAUGAUUACCCACUUAAAAAAAUCCCCAAGAAUCUACAAAAAUACAUAUAAAACCAACAAGUGAAUUUAGCAAGGUUAGGGACACAAAGUCAACACACAGAAAUCAAUCCUAUUUCUUUUUAUUUAUUUUUUAUUUAUUUAUUUUUUCGUCUUUUUGCUAUUUCUUUGGGCCGCUCCCGCGGCACAUGGAAGUUCCCAGGCUAGGGUCGAAUCUGAGCUGCAGCUGCCAGCCACAGUAAUGCCAAAUUUGAGCCACAGCUCAGGUCAACAGCAACACCAGAUCCUUAAUCCAGGGAGCAAGGCCAGGGAUCAAACCUACGUCCUCAUGGAUAGUCAGAUUCACUUCCACUGUACCACAACAGGAACUUCUUCUAAGUGAUUUUUAAAAAAAAGAAAAAAAAAUUCCAGGCUGAAUUUUUCAGAGAUAUAAAUAAAAUGAUUCUAAAAUUUAGAAGGAACUAGAACAGCUAAAAAAAUUUUUUUUGAAAAAAAAAAAAAAAGAAACUGGAAGAACUACAACUACUCAAUUACAACACAUUAACUAUAAAGCUACAGUAUCAAGACUGUGCAGUAUUGGCAAAGGGAUUUAGGUCGGUGGAAAUCAUCCAGACAAAAAAAUUCAAUGAGGAGCUCCUGCUGUGGCACAAUGGCAUUGGUGGUGUCUUGGGAGCCAAUGAGAUGCAGGUUCAAUCCCCAGCUCAGUGGUUUAGGGAUCUAGCAUUGCCCCAGCUGAGGGUCAGGUUGAGACUGUGGCUCUGACCCUGGCCAGGGAACUCUAUACGCCACAGGGCGGCUAAAAAUGACCAAAUUUAAAACAAAAAACAAUUCAACAGUACAAAGAGAGUCUUUAUAAUAAAUUAUGUUGGAACAAAUGUACAUUCAAAUGCAAAAAAAAUUAACCUCAACUUAAAUCUCAUAUUUUAUAUAAAAAUUCACUCCAAAUGAAUCAGAGAUAUGAAUAAAAAAUAUUUGAAAACUUCAAGAAAAAAAUACCAAAAAAAAACUUCAUUCCUUGGGGUUAGGUAUGGGAUUCUUAAAUAUGACAACAGAAAGUACAAUCCAUAAGAGAAAAAAGCUAGCAAACUUUAUCAACAUUAAGAACUCUUGAUCUUUAGAAAGAAAAAAAAAAGGAAAAUAAAAUAUGAAUAGAAACCUUAAAAAAAAAACCUUAAAACCUUAAAAAAAAAAACUCACUGAAAGAUACUGUUGAAAGAAUAAAAAGAAAAGCUAUGGAUGGGGAGAAAAUACAUUUGCAAAUUACAUUUCUAGCAAUAGGACUUCAAUUAACAAUAUAUUAUGAACUCUCAAAGCUCAACAAUAAGAAAAUAAAGGACCCAGAGCUCCCUUCAUGGCUCAGCAGUGAACACACCCGACUAGAAUCCAUGAGGAUGAAGGUUUGAUCCCUGGCGUCGUUCAGUGGGUUAAGGAUCCAAAGCUGUCCUGAGCGUCAGUGUGGGUCACAGACAUGGAUUGGAGGCUUGGAUGGCCCACUGCCGUGGCUGUAGCUCUGAUGAGAGCCCCUAGCCUAGGAACUUUCAUAUGCCAUCAAUGCGGGCCUAAAAAAAAAAGAACCCAAUUAAAAAUAGGCAAAAGACAUAACAGACAUUGCACCUCAAUAUCAUUAGCUAUUAGGGAAAUACAUAUUAAAACUACAAUGAGUUACCCAUGAUGGAAAUGCAAAUCAAAACCAUCAUAAACCACUUCACACUCACUAGGAUGGUUGUAAUAAAGAUGGCAAUAAAAAGUGUUAGCAAGAUUUGCAAAGACACUAGAAACCUCAUUCACUGCUGGUGGAAAUGCAAAAUUGUGCAGCCACUUGGAAAAAGUCAGGGAGUUAUUCAGACAGCUAAACAUAGAGUUAUCAUAUUAUCCCACAAUUCAACUCCUCUGUAUAUACCUAAAAGAAUGAAAACCAGUGUCACACAAAAACUUGUACACAAAUGUUUAUAGAACACUAUUCAUAAUAGCUAAAAGGUGGAAAUAGCACCAAUGUCUAUCACCUUAUGGAUAAAGAGAUAUGUCCAUUCAACAGAACAUUAUUCAUCAAUAAAAAAGAAUAAAGUACUGAUACAUGCUACAACUUGGAUAAACUUGAAAACACUAAAAGAAGCCAGUCACAAAAGAUCACAUAUGAUUCCCUUCGUAUGAAAUAUCCAGAGUAAGCUAAUCUGAAAGACAAAAAGUACAUUAACGGUUGCCUAGGGCUGGGGAAAGGGAGAAACAGGAAGUGAUGGCUAACAGGCACAGAAUUUCUUUUUGGAGUGAUGAAUAUGUUCCAAAAUCCACUGUGAAUGGUUGCACAACUCUGAAUAUACUAAAAACCAUCAGCUCUUAAAUUUUACGUGAGUGAAUUAUAUUGCAAUUAUAUCUCAAUAAAGUCAUCAAAAACACAGUGAAUUAUUAUAUAUACAUCAAUUAAUAUGGCUAAAUUUAAAAAUAUUGAUAAUACCAACGUUAAUAAGGAUACAGAGCAACUAAAAUUUCUGUAUCUUGCUGGUAGAAAAGCAAAAUGGUACAACUACUCUGGAAUAUCUUAUAAACAUACAUUACCUAUGGCCUAAGAAUCUCCCUCCUAGGUAUCUACUCUAGAGAAAUGAAAACAUGUUCACAUAAAAUCUCAUACCUAACUGUUUAUAGUGGCUCUAUUUACAAAUGUCAAAAACUGGAAAUAAUUCAAAAGGCCUUCAAGGCAUAAACGGAUAAAUAAACUAUGGGAUAUUCAAAUAAUGGAAUACUAGUUAGCAAUAAAAGGAAUAAAUUAUUGAUUCACAUACUUGGAAGAAUCUCAAAGGUAUUAUGCUGAGUGAAAGAAACCAAUCUCCACAAGGUUGUAUAUCAUGUGGUUCCACUUACACAUUAAGUCUCAAAACUACAAAACUAUUGAGAUGAAGAAAAAAAAAAAAACUGUUGCCAGAGAGGUAGAGACUGAGUCUUUUGGGGUGAUAAAGACUUUUUGGGAGUUCCCAUCGUGGCUCAGCAGUUUAAUGAACCCGACCAGUAUCCAUGAGGUCAAGGGUUCUAUCCCUGGCCUUGCUCAGUGGGUUAAGGACCCAGCACUGCCAUGAGCUGUGGUGUAGGUCGAAGACGUGGCUAGGAUCUGGUGUUGCUGUGGCUGUGGUGUAGGUCGGCAGCUACAGCUCCAAUUCAGCCCCUAGCCUGGGAACAUCCAUAUGCUGUGGGUGUAGCCCUAAAAAGACAAAAGACAAAAAUAAAAGACUUUUGGUAUUUUGUACCCUGAUUUAUUGUGGUGGUUACACAAAUUUAUACAUGUAUUAAAAUUCUAAAAAAUGUGCACCAAAAGGAAAAUGGUGGAUUUUUCUUUAUAAUUUAAAAAAUUUUUAAAUGUUAAGUCCAGUCUAGAGUCAACUCUUCUUUAAUUCAAUUUCAAUUCACUAAAUUAUCGCUUUUAAUAAUCUCACUUAGUUAAAAAUACAGUAUAGGAGUUCCUGUUGUGGCACAACAGGAACAGCAACAUCUCUGCAGUGCCAGAACACAAGUUCAAUCCCCAUGCUGGCAAAGCAAGUUAAAGGAUCCAGAGUAAGUCCAACCUGUAGCUAAGGGUGCAACUGCAGCUUGGAUCUGAUCUCUGACCCAGGAACUCCAUAUGCCAUGGGGUAACCAAAAGAGAAAAAAUUUUUUUAAUUUUUUAAAUAAAAUAAAAGUACAGUAUAUAGUUCAAGAAAGAUACUAGCAACAUGAAAUACAUCCUAAGGAGUACCUAGAGGUAGUAAAGCAUUAGGAAAUCGGACCCAUUAAUUAAGACUACACAAACUAGGCAUACUAAGCCUAAAGCAGAGACUCUGAGGGAGAAUGACUGAUGAAAAACACCUUCAAUUACCUGAAGGGGUGACAUGUAUAUGGGGGUUAGAAUUUUUCCAUAUAGUAUUAAAGGGAAACUUCAUUUACCAGUGAGUCUAAAAGCAUAAAGCAUUUUCUAGGGUUACCAGAAAUUCAACAUAUAUUCCCCAAAUGCUAGAUAAUCAAAAGUAGGAAGUUCUGGAGACUCUUGCAUUAAACAAAGAGUCAUACAGGAUGAUCUAAGAGUUUUCUUUCACCUCAAACAUUAUAUGAAUCUAUGAAGUAUAACUUAUACAGUUAACCUACCAAAGUAGAAGAUACUGACAAUCUAAAAAGGUGUCCCUUCUUACCAAAUAGCAUUUUAUUGAACAAAAGCAAAUAUUAGAAGCACUCUAGGUUCCAAAUUUUUAAAAAAGACUAAUAAACACCUCAACAAAAGCUGUAUUAAGACCUAUUUUACAGCUCUUUUAUUUCUCCAAAUCUCUCUGGACUAAGGCUAUUAAAAUUAAAUUCAAAUUACUAAUGCCUAAUUAAAUCUAAUUUCAUUAAACUUAAAAGUUAUAAAAAUAAAUUUCAUGCAAACUUCUGUAAGUACAUUGAAGAAAUUUCUUGAAAAUGAAGUUACUCUUUCCACACAAAGGAUGGUAGUCCUCAAAAGAGCCAAAACAUCUGUAUUCACUUUAAAGCUCAUCAAGACAGACUGACAUUUUUAGGAGAAGCAUAUGGCUUGCUCAACAGUCAUCUAGAACAGGAUCUUUUGUCUAGUAACCCCUAUUCAAGGACCAUUUACUUAUGUAUGGAGUGGCUGAAUAAAGAAAAGAACAUAUUUUUGAGUCCUAGAAAACACAAAGAAAUAAGCUCUUCAUCUAGCUUUGUCAAGGAUACAGCAAAACAUGUUACAAAAGCAACCAGAUCUUUACUCUCAGAGACAGUGCUCUUAACAUCUGAAACAAUCCUAAGAAAUCACUGAAACAAAUGAACUCUAGAAAAGCUUUCUUAGAGAACUAAAUCCCGCCAAAGACCACCUCCCUAAAAAAAGGCAUUUCCAUUUUAAAGGAUAAAACACUUUCUUCUUAAAACUUUGAAGGGCAGAGUUCAACAGCUGCGCUAUAUUAAACCUGAGCCCUUCCAAAAGGAAGAACAAGAGUCUCUGGAGAGUGAGUAACACGGCCUGCUUUCUCCAACAUUAUCAAAAUGCCUGCUUUGCCUCAAAGGAACGUUUCUCCAGGAAAAAAAAAAAAAAAAAAAAAAAAGCCUCUACAUAGUAGAUGGGUGAAAAACAUAAAACUUAGACUAGGAAAAUAUACAAAAUAGAAGCAUUUUUGCUUGUUUCUGGAAAUCUCUUCCACCCAAGGAAAAAUGCAUUUUGAAGUCCUUCAAGAUACAGCAUGGAAACUAUUAAACAAAAACAGAAAUAGUAGUUUCCAGCCCUAGCUUCCCUUCAGAAUCACCACUGCGCUUGGUUGCAACCUAAACUUACUGAACCAGUAUAUACUAGGACCAAGGCAUCUGAAUUAUUUAUGCACACAACAGGUAAUUUUGAUGCACAGCAAGGGUUUAAAAACCACUGAACUGGAGCAUAAUCCCAUAAAGGAAAAAUUAAACCUAGCGAGUAAAGGUAAGUAAGGAAAGGCCACAUUUGAGCAACUAACUAGUUCUAAAGAAUCUAAGGUUGUAUUCACCUAUUAAAAUAUUCAGUAUCAGGAGUUCCCAUCAUGGCUCAGUGAAAACGAAUCUGACUAGCAUCCAUGAGGACGCAGAUUCGAUCCCUGGCCUUGCUCAGUGGAGUAAGGAUCUGGCAUUGCCGUGAGCUGUGUUGUAGGUCACAUAGGUCAGCAGCUAUAGCUCUGAUUCAGCCCCUAGCCUGGGAACCUCCAUAUGCCACAAGUGUGGCCCUAAAAAAACAAACUCGUAACAAACAGAAAAAGAAUUUGAAGCAAAAAUUCUGACUUGUUCUCAAGCCAUUACUUAAAGGACAAAAGACUCAGAACAAUUUGCCAAAAUAUCCAAAUAUUUAGAUGAAAGUAGUUAUGAAGGAGUUCCCUUCAUGGCUCAGUGGUUAACAAAACCAACUAGGAUCCACAAGGAUUUGGGUUCAAUCCCUGGCCUCAUUAAAUGCGUUAAAAAUCUGGUGUUGUCAUGAGAUGUGGAGUAGGUUGCAGACGUGGCUCGGACCCCGCUUUGCUAUAAGCUGUGGUGUAGGCUAGCAGUUGCAGCUCUGAUCCAACCCCUAGCCUGGGAACCACCAUAUAACUGGGGUUCAGCCUAAAAAGCAAAAAAAAAAGAUGGUAAGAAAGUCACCAAUAGAAAGUCUCUCAUUGAAAAUAAUUACAAAAUU
rnacentral:lncRNA from 1 species